rnacentral:rRNA from 1 species
GACGAACGCUGGCGGCGUGCUUAACACAUGCAAGUCGAACGGAAAGGCCCUGCUUUUGUGGGGUGCUCGAGUGGCGAACGGGUGAGUAACACGUGAGUAACCUGCCCUUGACUUUGGGAUAACUUCAGGAAACUGGGGCUAAUACCGGAUAGGAGCUCCUGCUGCAUGGUGGGGGUUGGAAAGUUUCGGCGGUUGGGGAUGGACUCGCGGCUUAUCAGCUUGUUUGUGGGGUAGUGGCUUACCAAGGCUUUGACGGGUAGCCGGCCUGAGAGGGUGACCGGCCACAUUGGGACUGAGAUACGGCCCAGACUCCUACGGGAGGCAGCAGUGGGGAUUAUUGCACAAUGGGCGGAAGCCUGAUGCAGCAACGCCGCGUGCGGGAUGACGGCCUUCGGGUUGUAAACCGCUUUCGCCUGUGACGAAGCGUGAGUGACGGUAAUGGGUAAAGAAGCACCGGCUAACUACGUG